rnacentral:rRNA from 1 species
UACGUAGGGUGCGAGCGUUAAUCGGAAUUACUGGGCGUAAAGCGUGCGCAGGCGGUUUUGUAAGCCAGAUGUGAAAUCCCCGGGCUUAACCUGGGAAUGGCAUUUGGGACUGCAAGGCUUGAGUGCGGCAGAGGAGACUGGAAUUCCUGGUGUAGCAGUGAAAUGCGUAGAUAUCAGGAGGAACACCGAUGGCGAAGGCAAUCCCCUGGGCCUGCACUGACGCUCAUGCACGAAAGCGUGGGGAG